rnacentral:lncRNA from 1 species
CUGACAACCAAGUCUCAAAAAAGACUGAGAUGAGCAGAUUUUUGCCUUGGCUUUGCAGAUGCAUCUUGUUUACAUAAGGUCCUUCAUUGCAUCCAUUCCUGCAGGAGACAGAGCCUGGUGGCAGCAGGAGAGAGGCAGAUCCCAUGCAGAGUGGAAAGAACGCCGCUUCGGAAAUGCUUGGCUUCAAAGAAGUAUGUAUAUGAGAAAUGAGUCAGCUGAAAAGUAUCAUGAACAUCCUAUCUGGGAACUAAACAGACUGCUUCAUCAAAUGCCAACAUUACUGUUGGCAUUUGGUGUUACGGCCACCCCUGGAGACAGGCUUCUAAACCCAUCAUUUAAUUGCUGAUGAGAGCACUGACAGAAAACAAUCAACUGCUUUUUCAUAGAAAUAGAAAUUAGUCUGUACGUACUCCUUUCAUCUGCUUCACGCUCACAAAAGCUUCGCUCUGAGGAGGUUGUGCAGCUGAGCAGAGGAGAUAUGACUCAUCCCUGUUGUUGUGUGAUCUGCCCAGGCCUGUUUGUGCAGAUGUGUGGUGGGUGUGGGUGUGAGGGUGAGAGGAGGGAAUGGUGAUAGCCCACCAGGUCCAAAUCUGCCCCUGCCACAACUCCAGUUUACCAACAUUUUGCUCUUAAUCAUCUCCCUGAAGCUCAAACCCUAGUGAAUAAGUGCACAGCAGUGCCUGGAGACAAACAUUCAGAGUGAGAACACUGCAUCCUGUUCUCACUCUGAAGAAUGUUUGAUGUUGCAGAGGAUGGCAAACUGCAUCUGAGAUGCUAGUGGGAGGGAUAAAAUUUUCCACUUCACUGUCCCUCCCCCCUCAAAGAAUUUUAGAGGUUAAGUGAUAUUAAAAACACAAGAGAGUUGAGAGCAUCAGCCACCAGGCAUUGCGUUAUCUCAUGUGCUAAUCUCACUUGUCAGAUGAUAUCCCAGAGAUGGGAGCAUGACAGAACAAAGCUGACUGGAGGUCCUAAAUCACAGAGGCACAGUAUUUGUUACAGGUUUAGAAGCUGUGAUCAAGGACAGCAUGCUAAGAUCUUUCAAGAUGUUUCCUUUAGUUUCUCCUCUCUACCAUCACCUUUAAUAAAAUCUUAGUUAACUUUAAACA